rnacentral:rRNA from 1 species
UACGUAGGGACCGAGCGUUGUCCGGAUUCAUUGGGCGUAAAGAGCUCGUAGGCGGCCACUCAAGUCGAAUGUGAAACCUCGAGGCUUAACCUCGAGCCUGCAUUCGAUACUGGGCGGCUAGAGUCUGGUAGGGGGAUCUGGAAUUCCUGGUGUAGCGGUGGAAUGCGCAGAUAUCAGGAGGAACACCGGUGGCGAAGGCGGGAUCCUGGGCCAGUACUGACGCUGAGGAGCGAGAGCGUGGGGAGCGAACAGG